rnacentral:rRNA from 1 species
CAGCAGCCACGGGAAUACAGAGGGUGCGAGCGUUAAUCGGAUUUACUGGGCGUAAAGCGUGCGUAGGCGGCUUCUUAAGUCGGAUGUGAAAUCCCUGAGCUUAACUUAGGAAUUGCAUUCGAUACUGGGAAGCUAGAGUAUGGGAGAGGAUGGUAGAAUUCCAGGUGUAGCGGUGAAAUGCGUAGAGAUCUGGAGGAAUACCGAUGGCGAAGGCAGCCAUCUGGCCUAAUACUGACGCUGAUGUACGAAAGCAUGGGGAGCAAACAGGAUUAGAUACCCCGGUAGUCCCUGUCUCUUAUAA